AUACUUACCUGGCAGGGGAGAUACCAUGAUCACGAAGGUGGUUUUCCCAGGGCGAGGCUUAUCCAUUGCACUCCGGAUGUGCUGACCCCUGCGAUUUCCCCAAAUGUGGGAAACUCGACUGCAUAAUUUGUGGUAGUGGGGGACUGCGUUCGUGCUUUCCCCUG
ensembl:snRNA U1 U1 spliceosomal RNA